AGCGAACGCUGGCGGCAUGCUUAACACAUGCAAGUCGCACGGGCAGUGGCAACAUUGUCAGUGGCGGACGGGUGAGUAACGCGUAGGUAUCUAUCUCUGGGUGGGGGACAACUGUGGGAAACUACAGCUAAUACCGCAUGACACCUGAGGGUUAAAGGCGCUUGCGUCGCCUGGAGAGGAGCCUGCGUUCGAUUAGCUUGUUGGUGGGGUAAAGGCCUACCAAGGCGACGAUCGAUAGCUGGUCUGAGAGGAUGAUCAGCCACACUGGGACUGAGAC
rnacentral:rRNA from 1 species